rnacentral:rRNA from 1 species
GACGAACGCUGGCGGCGUGCUUAACACAUGCAAGUCGAACGGAAAGGCCCUGCUUUUGUGGGGUGCUCGAGUGGCGAACGGGUGAGUAACACGUGAGUAAAAUGCCCUUGACUUUGGGAUAACUUCAGGAAACUGGGGAUAAUACCGGAUAGGAGCUCCUGAUGCAUGGGGGGGGUUGGAAAGUUUCGGCGGUUGGGGAUGGACUCGCGGCUUAUCAGCUUGUUGGGGGGGUAGUGGCUUACCAAGGCUUUGACGGGUAGCCGGCCUGAGCGGGUGACCGGCCACACUGGGACUUAGGUACGGCCCAGACUCCUACGGGAGGCAGCAGUGGGGAAUAUUGCACAAUGGGCGGAAGCCUGAUGCAGCAACGCCGCGUGCGGGAUGACGGCCUUCGGGUUGUAAACCGCUUUCGCCUGUGACUAAGCGUGAGUGACGGUAAUGUGUAAAGAAGCACCGGCUAACUACGUG